GAUGAACGCUGGCGGCGUGCCUAAUACAUGCAAGUCGAGCGAACGGACGAGAAGCUUGCUUCUCUGAUGUUAGCGGCGGACGGGUGAGUAACACGUGGAUAACCUACCUAUAAGACUGGGAUAACUUCGGGACACCGGAGCUAAUACCGGAUGAUAUUUUGAACCGCAUGGUUCAAAAGUGAAAGACGGUCUUGCUGUCACUUAUAGAUGGAUCCGCGCUGCAUUAGCUAGUUGGUAAGGUAACGGCUUACCAAGGCAACGAUGCAUAGCCGACCUGAGAGGGUGAUCGGCCACACGGGAACUGAGACACGGUCCAGACUCCUACGGGAGGCAGCAGUAGGGAAUCUUCCGCAAUGGGCGAAAGCCUGACGGAGCAACGCCGCGUGAGUGAUGAAGGUCUUCGGAUCGUAAAACUCUGUUAUUAGGGAAGAACAGAUGUGUAAGUAACUGUGCACAUCUUGACGGUACCUAAUCAGAAAGCCACGGCUAACUACGUG
rnacentral:rRNA from 1 species